GCCGGGCAUGGUGGCUCAUGCCUGUAAUCCUAGCUACUUGGGAGGCUGAGGCAGGAGAAUCGCAAGUUGGAGGUGUGCCUGGGCAAUUUAGUGAGCCUCUGUCUUAA
rnacentral:sRNA from 1 species